rnacentral:rRNA from 1 species
GACGAACGCUGGCGGCGUGCUUAACACAUGCAAGUCGAGCGGUGCGGCGUACGGGCGAGUGACGCGUGAGUACCUGCCCCCCUCCCCGGGAUAACAGUUGGACACGGGUGCUAAUACCGGAAUGUGGGGGAUGACGCGGGGCCUAUCAGCUUCUUGGUGGGGUAGUGGCUUACCAAGGCGACGACGGGUGGCCGUCCUGGGAGGGAGACCGGGCACAGUGGGCUGGGGUACGAGCCGAACGGCUACUGGAGGCAGCGGUGGAGGACAUUGCACGAGAGGGGGAGCCCGGAUGCAGCAACGCGGGUUCGGAAGGACGGCCUUCGGGGUGGAAACGGCUUUCAGCGAAGACGCGGUAGUGGCAGAGGAAGCACCGGCUAACUACGUGCCAGCAGCCGCGGUAAUAC